AACGAACGCUGGCGGCAUGCCUAACACAUGCAAGUCGAACGAGACCUUCGGGUCUAGUGGCGCACGGGUGCGUAACGCGUGGGAAUCUGCCCUUGGGUUCGGAAUAACAGUUGGAAACGCCUGCUAAUACCGGAUGAUGACGUAAGUCCAAAGAUUUAUCGCCCAAGGAUGAGCCCGCGUAGGAUUAGCUAGUUGGUGAGGUAAAGGCUCACCAAGGCGACGAUCCUUAGCUGGUCUGAGAGGAUGAUCAGCCACACUGGGACUGAGACACGGCCCAGACUCCUACGGGAGGCAGCAGUGGGGAAUAUUGGACAAUGGGCGAAAGCCUGAUCCAGCAAUGCCGCGUGAGUGAUGAAGGCCUUAGGGUUGUAAAGCUCUUUUACCCGGGAUGAUAAUGACAGUACCGGGAGAAUAAGCUCCGGCUAACUCCGUG
rnacentral:rRNA from 1 species